rnacentral:lncRNA from 1 species
GAGAAAAGCACAGGCGGAGAAAAGACGAUUUUUCUUACAGGGCUAAAAUGCAGGGGACUUCCUUAUCCUGCCGACUCAGGGAAGCCCGGCCCCUUGUGAUCCAUUGCUGAAAGCCACCUCAUGUUUGAAAAACGGAUCCGCUCCCAACUUCAGUGGAAGGACACGACAUGUAGCACGAGGAAAGAUUGUGGCAUAUUACUGAACUAAGCAACCUAGUGACGUGUCUCUUCUGACUGGGGCUUGCCCACAGAGACAACUGUGACAUAGCACUGAGCCCAGGACCCAGGUGAUGUGACUCUGCUGCCUGUUUCCAACAUUCAUGAGAGGAUGGCAACUAUCCCUUGCCAAGAACUCAGGUGAUUUGACUCUCCUGCCUUGUCCCUGCCCUCAGAGAAGAUUGUGAUAUAUCUUCAGCCCCAAACCCAGGUAAUGUGACUUCCCUGCUUACUCCCUAUUCAGAGGAGAAAUUAUUACAUAUAACCUG